GACGAAGGUGGCGAGCGUUGUUCGGAAUCACUGGGCAUAAAGCGCACGUAGGCGGCUAAGUAAGUCGGAUGUGAAAUACCUCGGCUCAACCGAGGAACUGCGUCCGAUACUGCUUGGCUUGAGGUCCGGAGGGGAGAGUGGAAUUCCCGGUGGAGCGGUGAAAUGCGCAGAUAUCGGGAAGAACACCCGUGGCGAAGGCGGCUCUCUGGGACGGUACUGACGCUGAGACGCGAAAGCGUGGGGAGCGAACAGG
rnacentral:rRNA from 1 species